AACUCAAAGGAAUUGACGGGGCCCGCACAAGCGGUGGAGUAUGUGGUUUAAUUCGAUGCAACGCGAAGAACCUUACCUGGGUUUGACAUACACCGGAAAACCGUAGAGAUACGGUCCCCCUUGUGGUCGGUGUACAGGUGGUGCAUGGCUGUCGUCAGCUCGUGUCGUGAGAUGUUGGGUUAAGUCCCGCAACGAGCGCAACCCUUGUCUUAUGUUGCCAGCACGUGAUGGUGGGGACUCGUAAGAGACUGCCGGGGUCAACUCGGAGGAAGGUGGGGACGACGUCAAGUCAUCAUGCCCCUUAUGUCCAGGGCUUCACACAUGCUACAAUGGCCAGUACAGAGGGCUGCGAGACCGUGAGGUGGAGCGAAUCCCUUAAAGCUGGUCUCAGUUCGGAUCGGGGUCUGCAACUCGACCCCGUGAAGUCGGAGUCGCUAGUAAUCGCAGAUCAGCAACGCUGCGGUGAAUACGUUCCCGGGCCUU
rnacentral:rRNA from 1 species